rnacentral:lncRNA from 1 species
CACUGGCUGGAGGGUGAGGAGGCAGCCAGCCCCAAGGGGCCAUGAGAGACCAUGCUAAGGAGCUUGGUUUUCCCAUCUGCCUUGGGGAACAGGGAAGGGUUUCAGGCAGGUGCCCGAAGCGUUUAGGUCGGCCUUUUAAAUAAGACCUUCUGUUUGGUGAUUUGAGCAGUGGAUUUGGCUAUUCCCACAACGCAGGUGAAGAUGCAGAGGGGCUUCUCUUGAGCAGCUGGAUGGAGGGGGAGAAUGGUCUGAGGAAUAUUUGAGAGGUAAAAUCAGCAAAAUUUGUUGAUUGAUGAUUUACACGGGGUAAGGGAGUGAGGGGAGCCCAUGAUGCCGGCCAGGCAGGUGGAUGUUGGGGUUACUGUCUGUAUCAGUCCAGGUGCAACCAGGAACACCAAAACCACUCUACAGCCUUUAAAACAGGAGAUUAACGCAGGGAUUGGUUACAUCCUGAUGGAAGAAACUCCCAGAGAAGCCAGCUAGGGAACAGCUGGAAGCUGUUAGCACCGCUAGGCUGAAGGGGCAAGAGACAGAGGGAGAGAGAGGAGACAUGGGGAGGCUGGAACCACAGUGCGCCUCUAUGGAUGGAGUUGAGCCACUGCCAGAAACUCCAUUCAAAACAGAGAGGGAGGGGGAGAAAGGCCCACUUCUCCUUUCUUCGGACUUCCAGUCUCGCCAGUGCCCCCCGGUGGCCGGACCCCUGGGGAAACCAGUUCACAAGGGAGUCUGCUAAGCUGAAAAGGCUAAGAAUUUGGUCUGAGCUCCAGCACACCAGCCCAAGUAGGCAACAUGGCAGAAACGGAGAGGCAGCUGGGGGAGGGUGUGGAUGCACCCAUUUCUGGGCUCGGUGAGUUUGAGAUGCUCUGGGGACCUUCAGGGAGAGAUGUCCAGGAGGCACUUGCUGGACCCACGAUUCCAAAGACCGGGGGCAGAGAUCUGCAUCUGCGCAGUGGGAUUUACCAGCAGAAGGGCAGUAGUUACAGGGAGAGCAAUGGAUGUGCUCACAGGGGCAGAGAGUGGACUCACACCGGGGAGGAACCUCAGUCUGAAACUCUGCUGAGGAUUCUCACAGACGAGCACAGGCGCAAUCCCAGCCUUCCGUGGUUUUGUUUCUGCUGGUUUGGUUUUUCAAAAAACACCAACACCCACCUAAGAGCACAAGGAACCUUUGCUCAGCCUCCCCUGGCUUCACUGGGUCUACUGCCCUCGCCGCGCCCGGCCUGUGUCUUGGUCACUAAAGGUCCUAGGGGCUGACACCAAGCCACGGAGCCACCGCCCCGACCGCAGGCGAGAAGGCGACUCGGCCCGGACACCGCCCCACGUGCGCUCCCUCCCGGCGCGCCGGACCCGGAAGUGCGCGCCUCACGUGCUCUGCGGGAAGGUGCCGGACGCCGGCCAAGGGGGCGGUCUCCGUUUCUGCGUGCCUGCGUCAUCGCGUCAUCUGGCGGGG